rnacentral:rRNA from 1 species
GAUGAACGCUGGCGGCGUGCCUAAUACAUGCAAGUCGAGCGAACAGACGAGGAGCUUGCUCCUCUGACGUUAGCGGCGGACGGGUGAGUAACACGUGGAUAACCUACCUAUAAGACUGGGAUAACUUCGGGAAACCGGAGCUAAUACCGGAUAAUAUAUUGAACCGCAUGGUUCAAUAGUGAAAGACGGUUUUGCUGUCACUUAUAGAUGGAUCCACGCCGCAUUAUCUAGUUGGGAAGGUAACGGCUUACCAAGGCAACGAUGCGUAGCCGACCUGAGAGGGUGAUCGGCCACACUGGAACUGGGACACGGUCAAGACUCCUACGGGAGGCAGCAGUAGGGAAUCUUCCGCAAUGGGCGAAAGCCUGACGGAGCAACGCCGCGUGAGUGAUGAAGGUCUUCGGAUCGUAAAACUCUGUUAUUAGGGAAGAACAAAUGUGUAAGUAACUAUGCACGUCUUGACGGUACCUAAUCAGAAAGCCACGGCUAACUACGUG